rnacentral:rRNA from 1 species
GUGAUCCGCCCUUCGGGGUGGUGAAAGUGGCGCACGGGUGAGUAACGCGUGGAUAAUCUGCCCGAGGAUUUGGGAUAACAUCUCGAAAGGGGUGCUAAUACCGAAUAAGCCCACGGGGUCUACGGAUCUUGCGGGAAAAGGGGGGGACCUUCGGGCCUCCUGUCCUUGGAUGAGUCUGCGUACCAUUAGCUAGUUGGUGGGGUAAUGGCCUACCAAGGCGACGAUGGUUAGCUGGUCUGAGAGGAUGAUCAGCCACACUGGAACUGAGACACGGUCCAGACUCCUACGGGAGGCAGCAGUGGGGAAUUUUGCGCAAUGGGGGAAACCCUGACGCAGCAACGCCGCGUGGGUGAUGAAGGCCUUCGGGUCGUAAAGCUCUGUCUGGAGGGAAGAAAUGAUUGGGAGCUAAUACCUCUUGAUCUUGACGGUACCUCUGAAGGAAGCACCGGCUAACUCCGUGCCAGCAGCCGCGGUAAUACGGAGGGUGCAAGCGUUGUUCGGAAUUAUUG